rnacentral:lncRNA from 1 species
AUGUUUACACUAUUUCUUGGUUUUUUCCAUGACUGUUACACUAGGAAAUUAGAAUUUUCCUCUCUUAUGCCCUCUGUACACUCAGCCCCCCCAGGCAGAUGUAUGAUAAGUUGUGGUAAGAUCAAUAUUCAACAGUCACUGUUUCAUCUGUGUAAAUGUUACUCCAUGAGCUGUAUUUAUCUUCUUGUGCAACUGGGUUGCUGUAUGUUAAUAAUUUUCCUGUGUUUGUUUUGUUUUGAGACAGGGUCUCACUAUGUAGUCCUGGCUGGCCUUGAACUCAUUAUGCUGCUUAGGCUGGCCUUGAACCCUCCGAGAUCCUCGUGCCUCGGCCUCCUGAGUGUUGGGAUUGCAGGUGUGCACCACCAUGUCCGGCCGUCUUGGUUUUCUAAGCAUCUCUCUGCUUCAUCACUGAGCGCCCAUGAGUUGCUUCUCUACUGCUCCAACCCAUGCGGGUGUUUCUAAGUCAUAAGCCUGAGCUGGAACUUGGGAUCCUCCUGCCUCAGCCUCCUAGAGCUGGGAUUAUAGACCUGCACUACCAUGCUAAGCUUUUGGUGCCCUCCCCACCACCACCACCAUGGGUCCAACUCAGGACCUUGCACUUGUGAGGUAGGUGCAGCACCACUGAGCUAAAUCCCUGGCCCAUCGGUGCAUUUUCAAGAUGAAAAAAAAAAUUCUUUAGGGGCCGGGAAAGUCCUUGUUUGGAUUCUCAGCAUCACAAAAAUUAAUUUCUUCCAAUGUCUCAAAUGUUUUAGCAAGAUAGCUGAUCUAAAUUCUUUUGUUGUUUCUGAAGUUCUAUUUCGUGGCGUUGCUAAACUUUUUAUUUCUAACAAAUUCUGUGUGGAUUUGGGGUUUGGCUAUAUUUUUCUAGGAAUUUAUUCAUUUCCU